rnacentral:rRNA from 1 species
GGACUACAGGGGUAUCUAAUCCUGUUUGAUACCCACACUUUCGUGCCUCAGCGUCAGUUAUAAUUUAGUAAGCUGCCUUCGCAAUUGGUGUUCUUGACAAUAUCUAUGCAUUUCACCGCUACACUGUCAAUUCCGCCUACCUCAAGUAUACUCAAGCUCAUCAGUAUCAAUGGCAGUUCUCCAGUUAAGCUGGAGGCUUUCACCACUGACUUAAUGAGCCGCCUACGCACCCUUUAAACCCAAUAAAUCCGGACAACGCUUGCACCCUCCGUAUUACCGCGGCUGCUGGCAC